UACGAAGGGUGCUAGCGUUGUUCGGAAUCACUGGGCGUAAAGGGCGCGUAGGCGGCUGUUUAAGUCGGGGGUGAAAUCCUGUGGCUCAACCACAGAAUGGCCUUCGAUACUGGACGGCUAGAGACCGGAAGAGGUGAGUGGAACUGCGAGUGUAGAGGUGAAAUUCGUAGAUAUUCGCAAGAACACCAGUGGCGAAGGCGGCUCACUGGUCUGGUACUGACGCUGAGGUGCGAAAGCGUGGGGAGCAAACAGG
rnacentral:rRNA from 1 species